UGUUUUGUGAAAACCUCAAAGU
rnacentral:miRNA from 1 species